UACCAGUUUUGAGCCAAAGACAAUGUAUAUAAGCACUUUCUCUUAUGAGGCAGCAAGCAACACUUCCACACCCUUCUCUCCCAGUCACUCAUGUCUUGUCGGAUGACAAACACAUGCACAAACAGACACACACACACACGAAGAGGGUGGGAGAUGGCAGCCGAGACUCCCAGGUGGACCCCCCUCAACACCCACACAAACACACCCUUGAUGACAGGGUUUCGCCAUAAAUCCGAAGACACUAGAGGAUGGAGGUUCGGCUGUCGAUUUACAGAAUCAGGGACUGGAUUACAGAAGUAUAUCUUACUAUCAAAAACUAAAGCACACACUCUAUAUCUUCUCAAGCAAACCUAUACCGUUCUCUGCUCUUCAUAUUGGUGAGGGCAAAAGUGAAUAACACAGUUUGUAAAUAUGGAAAGGGUAGCCCAUAUUUUCUUGCACAAAAUGAGAACUGGUAAAUUGGUUUGUUCUGUGUUCUUUAUUUCUUAUUGAUCCUUGGGAUUAUGUCUUGCAGUGAUUCAGGCCCGAGGGAGAUUUAUUUAUCCUUUUUUGUAUGCUGAGCAAACUUUGAGCAAAUGAGAGUGAUAUUAUUUUUCACUUUAAGACUUCUUGAUGUUGCCUGAGUGUUUUUCUUACCAUACUUUGCAGCUGAACGAGUCAUUUCUAAAACAGUGUACUUCCCACCUGUUUGUAAGCUUCCCAGGCUUUCACCUGGACUGAAUACUACUGUAACUUGACUGUAAAAACAAAAUAUUUAUAUUGCAUUGUGCAUUACUGUGUGUGCCAAAUUUUAUGAUGGGUGUGUACUUGUUUUUUUCUCGUGCUUUAUACAUUUACUCACUGAGUUCAGUUGUUUUAGUUGGGUUGCCUUUUUUGUUUCUCCUUAUUUUUUAGGGCUCUUUCGUAAAACACUUAAUUACCAACUCAUGCAUGGCAAAUAUGAAAUCAUGCAUGCAUGGCAGCAAUUCUGAAACUCUUGUGUAUUCUUGAAGAACCUCGUAUACAGCUUUGAAUGAUGAACCUCAAGAAACAGUCUUAAAUCUGCGUUGUACUGUACGAUUCUCACUAAUUUGUACAGUGGCCUAUUAUCUUGUAAUAAAAAUCAUGAUGAAGUACUAUUUACUUUUAGUGUUGAUUGUGGUUUACAAUAAGGAAUGAUGUAUUUGAUGUUACUUUUGUUUAAAAAAAUACAAACUUUUGAAUCUGUAGCAAAAAAAUAUAUAUACAUGAAAAUCUAGUUUUGUAUCAGAAAGAUAAAGACAGUAGCAGGUAGCUUGACUUCCUUUUUUGGACACGUUGCUUGUACUGUUUCUCCUGUUGUUAUUGUAUUGCCUAUCUGGCUGCCAAGGAAGGUAAAGUCAGCAUUUUCCACUGUGAGGAAGUAGCAUCCGACUCUUUGGAGAGAUCAGAUAUGUAAGGAGACAGAAAUGGGAAAAGCGAUGGGCAAACAAUCCCAUUGAGCAUCUGAAAUGCAUCACGUUGUCCUGAUGAGACACCAGGCUCAAACCAUUGCACAACAGACUAUGAUCUCGUUAAGUGCUACAUUACUGCAAAUUAUUACUACUAUUACUAUUACCUUUUGUGGGGAUGAUGUACAACACUGCUUCCCAAUGCAAUAAAUGUCUGUUUGCAUAAAAAAAAUCUCAGCUUCUCUCUUUAAUCGAGUCUUCCCUUUAACUUUGGAGAAGUCGGGGCACUGGGGCAUGAGAAACGCUAAUGAGAUGUGACAUUUCCAGCUCUGCUGUGGUGACUGAAUGAUUCAUGUCGUGUGACAAGCCUCUGUCAGCACGCAGCAUCUUAAAGCCUGACUCUCAGCUGGGAACAUACAUGCAGCUUUAAGAGCAAACACACACAUGCACGCACACACACUUGCAUGUCCAUUUCUCUCCAGCUGUUGCCAAGAGCAACACAUAGCUGGUCCCUGCCUUUCCUCCCUCCUCAUCUUGACAGACAUGAAAGGGCUGCCUGUGCCGGGUACCAUGGUAACAGAAACACCUUGCACUUGAUGGGUGCUGCGGUGGGUUUCGGUGCAGAAUCCCUGAGCUUGAUAUCAUCUCUGUCUUUAAUGGAAUGUUCUCCAUACUCUUAUCUCCACUCUCAUCUCUAAAGUCCCCCUAUUCACUCAGUGGUGUGACCGUAUUUUCCUGCCAAAAUAGUCGCUUCUUUCAGGAAGCCAUCCAGCCAUGACGACGGUGCCUACACAGUCCCCUCACACACCAUCAGAAGAUGUUACAUUUAGGUAACAGUUUACUGUAUAAUUGAGUUUUUUUUCCAAACGAUGCAGCAGAAUCAGCUCACACUUAAUUAUGAUUUAACUGAAGUUAUAAGGGUUAAAGCAUCGGUAGAUGGAAAUUACUGCUCAUCGUCACAAAUCUGUUGAAUAUGAGGUUAGAAGAUGAAAAUUCAUGCUGCAUGGAGGCAGUUUCAUUCCUUUCUGGUGCGCUGCUCUUUAUUACUUAUUUAGCCGUCUUGCAUUUGGAGUUACGUGCUCAUCAUUUCUUUAAAUAUCAUCAUCUCACCUCGUGUAGUUUUCCAUUGCUUGCUACAAACUUACCUGCAACCCAGGCAGUUAGUGCCUAGUGUAAAUUACACCUGCAAAGGUAAAUACACUUGGGACUCAUUAAAUGAGAGCCACUUCUGUGCACCAGGUUGUGUCACGUUGCAGGUGUGGAUGACGGCGGACCAUGUGUGGAGGAGCUGACAGGAGGCAAAAAUGCAGGCACGGAUGAAAUAAAAAUGGUUUUAAUGGUAGCGCGGGAACGACAGAACAAAACAACGCUGACAACAAUCAAUGGACCGACAACCACACAGAGACAAGACAGGGUUUAUAUAGACUGAGAAGAUGAGAGGGAGAUGAAUUGCAGGUGUGUGGGGAGAGGGACCAGGUGAACACAAUUACUAACUCAGGGAGGAGGAAGAAAACACUGGUGGGAAAAAACACACUAAAUAACGAAAGGCUGUAACAAAGGUAAAUGACCUAAGAGAAAAACAAAAGACCAGAAGGCAUGAACCAUAACUAAUAUUCUAAGGGGAAGCUGACACUAAAGGAAAACACUACAGAAAUAAACUACAGGGGUGUGGCUAAGAGGGGGCCAAGAGAGCACAGGACCUGGGAGAGGGAAGUCUGAGGAGGGAAACCUAGAGGGCAAAUGGGGAACACCAGGAGACACAUGAGGAAGACGCAGACACAGACCAUGACAGGUUGCAUCUAAACCAGGAAGAGAAGGGCAGGUUGCUCGAUAAAAACACAGAUCUUAGGAGUCACUGAACUGCAGGUGCAACAGGCACAAAAACGUUUAAAUUAUUUCAGAUCUCUGGAAGUGUGACACCAUUGUGCUCAAGAUUGGUGAAUUAAAAAUAAUUUUUAUCUAAUUUGAAUAAUAACAAUUAGUUUGCAGUGUAGGGUUUGGUAAAUUGAGUGCUUUAAGAGCUCAAUAUAAAUAUAUUACCUCUACUUAUGACCAAUAAGCUGUGAUACUCUAUCUAAAUAUAGAAUAUCAACCCUGCUUGGUCUUUACUGUUUAUCAGAAGAUUCUAGGAUUCUUUAUUCAUUAAGGGAUUGUACACACUUCGUUUUGACUCAGAAAAGAGUCAGGUUUAUAAAAGUAAGAAUUUAUUUUACCAACAAUUAGAACAUGACAAGUUAACUAAGCAUUUACUGUGAAGGAUGGAACUAAAUGUGAUGUAUGAACCUAUGUGUGAAUGUGAUGUUAUCAGAACUUCCGUAUCUAGGAGAGCUGAGUUCUGGAUGUUAAAGAAUUUGGUUUGCGUUAAGCUAUGAAGUUGAUUAUUAUCAAAAACACACCAGACGCUAUCUGUGUGUCUACUUCACCCAUUCUGGAGACCCUCUUAGUGGAUCCGAAGGUCAGAGAGGUCGGAUGACCUCUGGCACCGAAGGUCCAGUAGAUUGACCACAGCACCGACUUCUCCAGUCCAGAGAUGUCUCGGGUAAUGACAGAUGGAUGGAACUGCGCGUCUGGGACUCUGAUGGAGUCUAAACAAGAUCAGCUUGUUCUGCAGGAACUGUUUGCUUUAUCAGCUUCGCCGGUGCAAAAAGGUUUUGACGACGUGUCAAAAGCUUUGAUGGUUAACGAGGUUUUUGGUUCAGGUGGCCGGUCUGAAGCUUUCUCUAGAACUGAGGAAUCACCAGAGUGAUCUGGUUUUAAUGUUCUCAUGUUAUAAUUUGUGUAGCCAACCAGAGGUUGACAAGUUUGAGGAAUAUUACCAAGAGUCUCAGAAACACACACCUUCUUUGAUACCGGACGCUCUGUUCUGGGUAAAGGACUAUCUGAGUCAUGAGUUUAACUUAACUUAACUUUGUCCUUGUGUGAGUGCAAAUGGUUAUGACCUUGUCAUAUAAACAUGCUGAAACAUAUUUCAAUCACUGUAAUCAUAACAUAACAUUCAUUUCAAACUUCAAUCAUUGAGCACAGAUUAAUAAAGCAUUUCAUUAUUUUGUAAUUAUUAUAAGUAGCAAUAAACAAACAUGUAUUUAAUGAUUAUCUAGCUUAUUGUGACAACGUGCUGCGGAGUGGAGCGGAGCUAAGGCGAGGAUCCAGACCGGGGAGGAAGCAGGCAGACAGGUAGGAUUAACUUCACAGGUUUAUUAGGACGCACGCUGACACUGGAACAAUGACUCCACACAGGACACAAAACAGACGGGGUUUAAAUACAGGAGGACCGGGAGUUAAGGUGAUUGGGAAACAAGAGGCAGGUGGGGGUAAUUAACGAGACACAGAGCUGAACUAAACAGGGAGACAG
ensembl:lncRNA